UCUCACAGAGAGAGAGAGAGAGAGAUUAAUGGAGGGUCUUAUUCCUUUCGUGUAUAGAGCCAUAAUGCAAUACAAGAACGGCAAAGAAGGACCUCUAGGGUCAUGGCUGAAUGAUUCUCCUUCAGCUCACUACAUGCGACUUCCAGGCGAUUCAGGUCGGUUUCAGGCGUCUGAGAUACGUCUUUUUGGAUCCGAUUGUGGCUUCUCUACCGCUACUUCAACAUCUGCCAAUUUCAAUAGUACUACUACCCAAAUUCUUGUAUCCACCGGAGCUCAAUCUCCACUCUGCCGGUUGACUCCUAGGCGCGUGGCUACAUGAUCAUAUCACAUAUGCUUGAAGAAGAAAUUAAGCCGAAGGUGCAGAAUUCUGUGUACC
rnacentral:misc_RNA from 1 species